GAGUGAGGGCGCGCUGUUGCCAUGGCAACACAGCCUACGCGCACGGCCUGAAGCAAGAACUUCACCCAACGAGAUGAAGAAAUCACCAGCUGGCAGUUGUCAUUCCUGCUUCAGCCUGGGAAAUCCAUCCUCUGUGGCCAAAUGCAAACUGCAGCACAAUUCCAGGAGGCCUCAGAAAUGGAAGUCAUAGUCCUGGCAGGUGAAUCUAACCAGCUCCAACCCAAAAGACCCAGACCCAGUAGCGGUGCUCUCAAGAAGCAUGAAUUGCUGCACUUGUGAUGGCAACCUUCCAUAAGACAACAGUGAUGGGGAGAAGGAGCUCAUCCACUUGGACAGUCUGCUGCAUAUGAGCCAGCAGUGUGCCCAGGUGGCCAAGGCGGCCAGCAGCAUCCUGGCUUGGAUCCGUAAUGAUGUGGUGAGCACCACUGGAAAAGUCAUCCUGCCCCUGUACUGCGCACUGGUGAGGCCUCACCUCGAGUGCUGUGUUCAGUUUUGGGCACCUUGGUACAGAAGGGAAACCGAGGUACUGGAGCAGGUCCAAAGAAGGGCUACAAAGCUGAUGAAGGGCUUGUGAAGGGCCUGGGGCCCCCAGCACAAGAAAGACGCAGAGCUCUUGGACCGGGUCCAGAGGAGGGCCACUAAGAUGACCACAGGGCUUUCUUCUCCUCUGAAGAAAGGUUGGGGGAACUGGGCUUGUUCA